rnacentral:rRNA from 1 species
AGCAGCCGCGGUAAUUCCAGCUCCAAUAGCGUAUAUUAAAGUUGUUGCAGUUAAAAAGCUCGUAGUUGAAUUUCGGGAUCAAUACGUCGGUCGUGCUUUCGGGUACGUACUGGCGUCAUUGGUUUCUCCUUUCUGACGAACCAUGAUGUCAUUAAUUUGGUGUUAUGGGGAGUUAGGACUGUUACUUUGAAAAAAUUAGAGUGUUUAAAGCAGGCAUUAGCUUGAAUACAUUAGCAUGGAAUAAUGAAAUAGGACGUUCGAUCCUAUUUUGUUGGUUUCUAGGAUCAACGUAAUGAUUAAUAGGGAUAGUUGGGGGCAUUAGUAUUCGAUUGUCAGAGGUGAAAUUCUUGGAUUUAUUGAAGACUAACUACUGCGAAAGCAUUUGCCUAAGGAUGUUUUCAUUAAUCAAGAACGAAAGUUAGGGGAUCGAAGACGAUCAGAUACCGUCGUAGUCUUAACCAUAAACUAUAGCCGACUAGGGAUCGGAUGAUGUUAAUUUUUUUAAUGUACUCAUUCGGCG